rnacentral:rRNA from 1 species
UACGUAGGGUGCGAGCGUUGUCCGGAAUUACUGGGCGUAAAGAGCUCGUAGGUGGUUUGUCGCGUUGUUCGUGAAAACUCACAGCUUAACUGUGGGCGUGCGGGCGAUACGGGCAGACUGGAGUACUGCAGGGGAGACUGGAAUUCCUGGUGUAGCGGUGGAAUGCGCAGAUAUCAGGAGGAACACCGGUGGUGAAGGCGGGUCUCUGGGCAGUAACUGACGCUGAGGAGCGAAAGCGUGGGGAGCGAACAGG